rnacentral:sRNA from 1 species
GGAAGUAAGGGUGAUCUGGCUGUGGCAUAUCACUUCAUUGAUCACCAGGGUAGAUUGUGGCUGAUCUGGCUGGUGAGGCAAGUGUCCCCUUCCUCUCUCAACAUUCCUGGUACAUCGCUCCCAAAGCUGCAUGCUCAAUUGAAGAGGACCACCCCCAAUAGAGGAUCAUUCCUCAGUCAAAAGUACAUGAGAAGCUGCUUUCCCUUGCUACAACCUCCAAAUAAGCAUUGGAGGAAAGGGCCUCCUAUCCCUGCACUG